AAAGAAAAAUGAAGAAGAUAAAGAGGAGGACCAAGAACUAUGAUGAAGAUUGGUCCCAAAUGGUGAAUAAUGUUGAAGCACUAUGUAAAGAGGAAGAUCAGGGAUUUACUAUCGUCUAUGAAACAUAUAGUCUAGUUUAUGCUUAAUAUUUAAGCAAUCAAUUUAGUCUCCUUUUGGCAUUUUCUUCUUCAAUUUCCACUUUGUGUUGUCGACUUUUCCUUUCGAAUUGAGCUUUGUGAUAAUUGCAGAAUUGAGCUUGUGCCAUUGCUAUAUGUCUUGAGGAAUAAAGUUUUUUUCUGUUAUUGACUAUUUGUUUAGUUUGAAACAAAUAAUUUUUACAGAAAAACCUUAUCAAUUCCACAACGAUCAUCAGCUCAUCAGGGGGUGAAGACAUUGAGAAAAGGGUUUGAUGCUUAUUUUUUGCCUUGAGAAAACAUGCUUUAACUGUUUAACAUUUUGGAACAAACUUUUUUAAGAAAAGGGUCAACUAAUUUUCACAUACAGUGUGGUUUUGCAAAUGAUUAUUGUGAGAUAUAUUAGCAUUAUAUUGGAACCCUACAGCUAAACUUGACCAAUUGAGGGUAGAGUUAGAGAGCAGAGAGUUGUUCUGUGCAGAGAAUGGCGACUGAGGUCCACUAGAAAGAGAUGACAAAUUGAAAUAAUUUUUUUGAGAACCUGGUGGAGGGAAACAAGUGAAUGAUGACUUGGGGG
rnacentral:lncRNA from 1 species